rnacentral:rRNA from 1 species
AUUGAACGCUGGCGGCAGGCCUAACACAUGCAAGUCGAGCGGAUGAAGGGAGCUUGCUCCUGGAUUCAGCGGCGGACGGGUGAGUAAUGCCUAGGAAUCUGCCUGGUAGUGGGGGAUAACGUCCGGAAACGGGCGCUAAUACCGCAUCCGUCCUGAGGGAGAAAGUGGGGGAUCUUCGGACCUCACGCUCUCAGAUGAGCCUAGGUCGGAUUAGCUAGUUGGUGGGGUAAAGGCCUACCAAGGCGACGAUCCGUAACUGGUCUGAGAGGAUGAUCAGUCACACUAGAAAUGAGACACGGUAGAGACUCCUACGGGAGGCAGCAGUGGGGAAUAUUGGACAAUGGGCGAAAGCGUGGUACAGCCAUGCCGCGUGUGAAGAAGGUCUUCGGAUUGUAAAGCACUUUAAGUUGGGAGGAAGGGCAGUAAGUUAAUACCUUGCUGUUUUGACGUUACCAACAGAAUAAGCACCGGCUAACUUCGUG